rnacentral:rRNA from 1 species
AUUGAACGCUGGCGGCAGGCCUAACACAUGCAAGUAGAACGAGUGGCGGACGGGUGAGUAAUGACUGGGAAACUGCACGAUGGAGGGGGAUAACUAAUGGAAACGGUAGCUAAUACCGCAUAACAUCGGAUGUGACCAGAUGGGAUUAGCUAUUAGGUGGGGUAACGGCUCACCUAGGCUAAGAUCCCUCGCUGGUCUGAGAGGAUGACCAUCCACACUGGAACUGAGACACUGUCCAGACUCCUACGGGAGGCAGCAGUGGGGAAUAUUGCACAAUGGGCGCAAGCCUGAUGCAGCCAUGCCGCGUGUAUGAAGAAGGCCUUCGGGUUGUAAAGUACUUUCAGCGAGGAGGCGUUACUCGCAGAAGAAGCACCGGCUAACUCCGUGCCAGCAGCCGCGGUAAUAC